AUACUUACAUGGCAGAGGAGAUACCAUGAUCACAUGGUUCUCUCAAGGCACAGGUCAUCCAAAGCACUCAGGUCUUUCUGACACCUGCAAUUUCCUCAAGCAGGGGAACUCAGCUGCACAAUUUCUGUUCGUGGGGAAUUUCGCACUGUCCCCC
rnacentral:snRNA from 1 species